rnacentral:rRNA from 1 species
AUUGAACGCUGGCGGCAUGCCUUACACAUGCAAGUCGAACGGCAGCACGGGAGCAAUCCUGGUGGCGAGUGGCGAACGGGUGAGUAAUAUAUCGGAACGUGCCCAGUCGUGGGGGAUAACGCAGCGAAAGCUGUGCUAAUACCGCAUACGAUCUAAGGAUGAAAGCGGGGGAUCGCAAGACCUCGCGCGAUUGGAGCGGCCGAUAUCAGAUUAGCUAGUUGGUGGGGUAAAGGCCCACCAAGGCGACGAUCUGUAGCCGGUCUGAGAGGACGACCAGCCACACUGGAACUGAGACACGGUCCAGACUCCUACGGGAGGCAGCAGUGGGGAAUUUUGGACAAUGGGCGCAAGCCUGAUCCAGCAAUGCCGCGUGCAGGAUGAAGGCCUUCGGGUUGUAAACUGCUUUUGUACGGAACGAAACGGCCCUUUCUAAUACAGGGGGCUAAUGACGGUACCGUAAGAAUAAGCACCGGCUAACUACGUGCCAGCCGCCGCUGUAAAAC